rnacentral:rRNA from 1 species
UCUUCCUACGGGAGGCAGCAGUGGGGAAUAUUGCACAAUGGGGGAAACCCUGAUGCAGCAACGCCGCGUGAGUGAUGACGGCCUUCGGGUUGUAAAGUUCUGUCUUCAGGGAUGAUAAUGACGGUACCUGAGGAGGAAGCCACGGCUAACUACGUGCCAGCAGCCGCGGUAAUACGUAGGUGGCGAGCGUUGUCCGGAUUUACUGGGCGUAAAGGGAGCGUAGGCGGACUUUUAAGUGCGAUGUGAAAUACCCGGGCUCAACUUGAGUGCUGCAUUUCAAACUGGAAGUCUAGA